GGUGUAAACAGAGGUUGCAAAUAGAUUGUGAAGGGGAUAUUGAAUGCCCUGAGUGUCGGGUUUGGACUCCCUGGGAUAAGAGGGGACGGGCUACGUAUACAGUUGAGAUUGUUUGUGGUUGGAAAGGUAGCCGAAAUAGUGAA